rnacentral:rRNA from 1 species
UACGGGGGGAGCAAGCGUUGUUCGGAUUUACUGGGCGUAAAGGGCGCGUAGGCGGCGUGACAAGUCACUUGUGAAAUCUCCGGGCUUAACCCGGAGCGGCCAAGUGAUACUGUCGUGCUAGAGUGCGGAAGGGGCAACUGGAAUUCCCAGUGUAGCGGUGAAAUGCGUAGAUAUUGGGAAGAACACCUGAGGCGAAGGCGGGUUGCUGGGCCGACACUGACGCUGAGGCGCGAAAGCCAGGGGAGCGAACGGG